CCUAAAAAAAGCAGGGGGGAAAUGAAAUCCUAAAAAAUUAAAAACCCCGCAUUUCAUCUAUCUUUUAGGGUUUCCAUGUAAACCAUAGACCUCAGUUUUGUUUUCUAAUCAAUUUGUUGUUGUUCGGGAAGGAAUAACGAACUCAUCCUCUCCACCAGUCGACAACCUUCAUUAUCUGCUUCUCCUUUUCUCUGUAAACCCUAGACCUCAUUAUGCGGGUGUGACUCUUCCUCCCUUUCGUAUUUUUGGAGCUUGGCAGCCAUACAGUGGUCAACGAUGUCGACUAUCCUCUUUUAUCCACCAUUUUCUCCCUCUGAGACGUUAAAGACACGCCAUCCCAAAAUUGGAAGAACUAGGGCUUUUGUGCUCUGGAUCUCACAGGAAACAAGUUUUCCUCGUCCGCACCCUCACCCAUCCAAAUUCCUUCUUCUUCAAAUGAUUAUAUGUUCUUACCUCUCAACCAUACCUGAAUCAAUAUCUUUGUCUCUCUUGUGUCUAUUCUCUCAAUAUCUCUCGUGCUUUCCUAUUUACAGCCAGAUUUUGAGAGCGAAAAGAAAAAAAAGAAAGAAAAGAUGUGCCUAUUCUUCCUCUUUGUUCCUCUAGUUCGAUCACAACCCUUCUUCUCCCUUCUUCUUAUUAUUAUUUUUUUCGAUUUGCUGGUGUGGGUGUGAGGUGGCGUUCGAAGGUUGUCAAGGGAUGAUGGCUGGUGAUUCUUCGUCUUCAUUUGUAUUCCCAGGGUUCUAGGUUCAUAAAUACAGAGCAAACAACACACACCCAUUGAUUCAUGUUGCGUGAUCAUGUUAUCAUAUGAUGGGUAGAGAUGACAAAGAAAUCCAUGGCGAUUCCAUGGAGAAGUCUCUCAUCCUUUAUGCGAAAGCAUUCAGAGAUUAGUGAUGGAAGAGAUGGAAAUCGUGAAAUGUUACACAAAAGAAUCACUAGUUCCAUAUCGUGGAAUGAAUUCUCGGAAAUGUUGUUGCUGCUACUUCCUAUUCUCAAUUCAUCUUCAAUGAAAAGUCUUUUUCGUCUAUUUUCAAAGGACAAGUCUUCAGGUUCUGAGGGGGAUGAUAUAUUAUGCCCCAUAUGUAAGGCCAAUCCAACAAUCGCAUAUGUUGCUCUUCCUUGCCACCAUAGGUACAUAAAUGAUACACAUAGUAUUUUCCAAAACUCUAAUUUUGAUGCUUGCCACAUUUAAUCUAAGGUAAGUAACAGAAAUGGUCCAUGUGGCUGUAUGAUUGUUGCACUGGCAGUCCAACUUUUUUUUCCCAAAACUCUGAUUUUGAUGCUUGCCACAUUUAAUCUUAUCAUUUGUUAUAAAGAAAAGGAAUGGGAUAUUGAGCAGCUUGUGGGAUCUGGUGGCAUGCCAUCAUCACAUUCAGCAACUGUGACUGCUCUUGCUGCUACUGUUGGUUUUUUGGAUGGUAUUGGUGGCACUAAAUUUGCAAUUGCUAUCGUACUAGCUUUUAUUUUUGCUGUCAUACUUUAAGCUUCCUAGAAAGAGAUCAGGUGGAGGAGAGGUAGUACCAGAUGAGACAUUACGCCCCCAACUAAUGACACUCCUCCCAUGCAUUUUCACCUGUGUCCGCCAUUCUCAUGUUGCUGUGAGACUAUCUGCUUUAAGAUGCAUCACAUCAAUGGCAAAGUCAAUAACAAUAUAUUUUUUUUAAAUAUUUCUUUUAUGAAUUAAAAAAAAAGUAUAUUUUAAUCUUUGUAGUUGAGCACAUUUCCAAAUUCAUGGUGCAUCACUGAGGAGACUCAUGCUUGAUUAUGUUUUGGAUAAAUCAAGUCCAUCAACUGGUACCCCACAUGGGAAAAAGAAAAAGAAAGUAACAACAUUGGGAUAGUCACUCCAAGAAAGUAUUUGAUCAAAAAUAUUACCUGAUGUUACUGAACAUAGAAGGCUUUCAAUCAUUGUGCAUCUUUUGAGUACUUUAGGGGAGAAAGGAAAAAUUAUAUCUAUGUUUUCUUGUGUAUUUAAAUACACAAGAAAACAUAGAUAUAAUUUUACGACACGCAUUCAGCUCCUGUGAAGUUAAAUACACAAGAAAACAUAGAUAUAAUUUUACGACACACAUUAGCUUUUAUUUUAAUAUAGGAGGUCCAAAAUCUUGCAAAGAAGGCUGCAAAAACUGUGGUGUUCGUAAUUGAUGAUGAAGGGACUGAGUAUUUGAUAUCAAAACUUCUCAAGUUGCUUCUAUUUCCAUGCUAAGUUGGCUUUUAUUUAUCUUACUGUUUAUUAUCCUUUUUUAUAUAAAACUUCAUCAUUUAUAUUAUAUAUAAUACAUUAUAGACUUUGCAUCAUAAUUUGUUCAAUGUUACAGGAUAUAAUUCAAAAUUCAAUUUCCUCAUGUUGUUGCUGAAAUGACAGCAAUUGGUUUUGGCCUACCAAAGAAUGCAUUCACUGCUCUAAUGAAGAAUGGUAAUUUGGUGGUUAAUUAUGAUCUUCCUAUAAGACAUGAUCAUCAAUCUCAACCUGACCAUGAAGUGUACUUGCAUUGAAUCGGAAGAGCAGGGUGAUUAUGGGAGAUGUUAAGUAGUUAUAGGGCUUUAGAUGCUUUCCCUUUGGAUGGGAAAUGUUUUUAAGACAUGAUCAUCAAUCUCUACCCCUGCUUUCCCUCUGGUGUUUAUCUCCACAUAAAAACCCUAAAAUGUGGAUGUGCUAAAACUAAAGAAAUUAGAAGACACAUACUGGAUUUUAGCAAGUCGGAAAAUGAGAAUACCGGAGAAGAUGAACCAUAAAUUGGCACUGAAAUGAUCAAUGGAAUUAUCAAAUCCCUUCAGGCUAUCCCUGAUGCAGUUCUCAGCACAACAAUUAUGAUUUUAUGAUGUUAGGCUGAACUAUAAAGCAAUCAUUCUUUGUUUUAGGAAACGUUUCAGAGCUUCUUCAGGCAGCUUAAUGAUGAGUUACUAAAACAAGAAGGUGCCCCUUUAUAGCAAUGUAGUAUUAGGUUAUAUAGUUAGGGAAAACCUCUUAAUAACAACGUACAAUUAGAUCCCCUUAAUAUCAAUGUAUUACAAUUUUAUGACAUGAUGUUAUUGAAUGAAAUUGAUUGUGCAAUGGAUUGUAUUUUUUGUA